rnacentral:rRNA from 1 species
UACGUAGGGGGCAAGCGUUGUCCGGAUUUAUUGGGCGUAAAGAGCGUGUAGGCGGCUUGGUAGGUCUCGCGUCAAAACCUGAGGCUCAACCUCAGUUCGCGUGGGAAACCACCUAGCUAGAGUCCGGAAGAGGAGAACGGAAUUCCCAGUGUAGCGGUGAAAUGCGCAGAUAUUGGGAAGAACACCAGUGGCGAAGGCGGUUCUCUGGGCCUUACCUGACGCUGAGGAGCGAAAGCGUGGGUAGCGAACAGG